GGGAUGGGAACAGGAGACAUAAAGUAAAGGGAGAGUGGAGUGAGAAAGUACUGGCAGGACAACUGAAUUGGGGAGGGAGGCAUCUCUGGGACAAGGAAGAAAGCUACAUCAAUGGAAACUCCUAGACAUUUAUGAAGACACUAGAACUUCAAAGGAAUAAAGUUGUAAGAAGAACA